CACGUAGGGCGCGAGCGUUGUCCGGAAUUAUUGGGCGUAAAGAGCUCGUAGGCGGCCUGUUGCGUCCGCUGUGAAAGCCCGGGGCUUAACCCCGGGUCGGCAGUGGAUACGGGCAGGCUAGAGGUAGGUAGGGGAGAAUGGAAUUCCCGGUGUAGCGGUGAAAUGCGCAGAUAUCGGGAGGAACACCGGUGGCGAAGGCGGCAUCCUGGACCGGCAUUGACGCUGAGGCGCGAAAGCCAGGGGAGCAAAGCGGG
rnacentral:rRNA from 1 species